GGGGGAUUAGCUCAGCUGGUUUAGAGCGCUUGCUUCACACGCAAGAGGUCACUGGUUCGAAUCCAGUAUUUCCCA
rnacentral:tRNA from 1 species